UACAGAUGGUCUGGAAUAUGCCGCGGUAAAAUUGCCGACCUUGUUGAAAGAAGACCCGAAAGACAUGUGGACUUUCAAGGAUGAUGAGACCCCAAACCCAAACUCUGUGUUCAUCAAAAUGAACAACAAAGAAGUCUCUGAAUCAACUUGCUUUGAAGUUGUAGCCGAGGAGAUGUCAAUCUGCAAUACAGACCAAAUUCAUACUGCACUUAGCUGCUACAUAGCAACAUUCUACGUCUUCAAUCUGGCCUAUAUACCACGACUUCAAAAGACGAUCUCUUUCAUCCAGAAUUUCCUCCUUGGCAUUAAAGAUGGAACCAGCUUGGAGAAACCAGUGCUUACCCUCGCAUCUAGAUUGGCCAAAAAGUCACAGCAUUAAACACAUUAGUCACCCAGCUGCCUGACUACAUGUUCAUCUCUUGGUUGCAGGUUCAUGUCAAAACUUUACAGAUUUAGAGUCAUAAUUUGAGAACUGUCACUGUCACCCUUCUACUGAGUGAUUAAAAAAAAAUAAUAAACACUUAGAAAAUUGUCAUUAAAAAGAAAACCAAUUUAUGAACCCCAAAUUAUUAUUAUACAUACUUUGAAAGAGUAACUUCUCCCGCAUCUUCGGUAUCAUUUUUGUGUGGUAUGUGUUUACGCUUGGAUGAACACUGCGCAUUGUUUUCGAGAAUGUAAAAAGCGAAUUGUGCCAAAGUGGGGGUGAAGUCAAAACAACAAAAGCUUACAAAAAAGCAACUCCAUCGUGAUUAAAAUAGCAUAACUUUUUAACGAAAAGGUUUUGAGCAAAAUAAGAUGGCACAGGUGUUGUUACACCUAUCGACUACAUUCUGUGUAAAAAUGAGAUAGAUCUGUAGAGUCAAGCUUGAGUGAGCACACGUCAAAGACAAAAUGAUCACUUUUCAAAAGUAUUAAGAGUCCUUUUUAGGUCUGUAAGUGACCAUUUGCUCUUUGAUGUGUGCUCACUCAUGGAUUACUUGAUAAAUCAAUCUCAUUUUUACACAGAAUCUAGUCGAUAGGUGUAACAACAAUCUUGCUAAGUUAUUUUGCUCAAAACCUUUUCACUAAAAAGUUACGUCAGUUUAAUCAGGAUGAAGUUGCUUUUUUGUUGUUUUGAUCUCACCCCCACUUUGGCACAAGUCGCUUUUUACAUUCUUGUAAACAAUGCGCCGUGUUCAUCCAAGCGUAAACACAUAUACCACACAAAAAUGAUACCGAAGUGUUUAGUUGUUUUUUUAUACUCACUCGGUAGUUUGAAAUAUGAACUUACUCUUUCAUAAUCAAAUGUAUUGAAUUUCUAAUCUUGGAUUCAAACUUCUUCUCCAGCUAUCAAACAAGAGAUAAACAAUUUAUCUGAAAGCUAGCCCCCCAUCUUGCCAAAUUUAAUCUCUAUUUUGUACUUGACUACUUUCAAACCUAUUAAAACAGAGCUUGGUUGCUGGUUGCAUUGCAAGUUGUUGUACUUUGGUCAAAUAUACUAAAUCCAGCACAGUUUCAGCAACCCCAAAUCCUUGCUUUAAUUACAAUAUGGCUGCUGAAUAAGAGCCUGGAUAAGAGCUCCCAGUUAUGAUUAUCCAAGUGAAACAAUUAGUCAAAAAUGUGUAAAUUGCAUAUUAAUUCAAGCAAAACACUAGAGUUAAAAAGUUGAACUGAAUUUGUUCGGUUUCUGAAUUAUCAAUGUAAGUGGAAAUUUGAAUUAGUGAAAGUUGAACUGAAUUUUUCGGGGUUUAUGAAAUAUUGAAGUAAAUGGAAAUUUCAAUUUAAUAAUCUGUGAAUUUCAAUUUAAUAAUCUGUGAAUUCAGUUAAUAAAAACAAAUGCCAUGUGCAAAAAGCAUAUUCAAACUUAAGCAAUUUUUGUUAUGAAACUUUCUCGAAUGUGAGAUAUUUAGAAGGUGAAGUCUGUCUACAUUGCAAUUGAAUUGUAGUGUGGUGUAUAUUUAGUGAUGUAUCAGUUACAUUUGUUGCAAGUUAUUUUACUUUCAAAUUAAUCUAUUUUAUUUAUGAACAAUUAAAUGCAUAUCUGCAGUGUUACACAAAGCAGGUGUAGUGCAGAUAUAAAUUGACAUAGUAUAAGGAGGCCUUUACAUUAUAGAAGUUGGCUGUACCAGGUUUUAAAAUACUUAUUGUUUAUGAAUGAAUUUCACACUGUAUUACCCUCAAAUGAU